ACCCUAGGCUAGCCUAAUGCUUAUUCAUCUUGUGAGAGUCUUGCUGUUUAGCCCAGGCUGGCUGAUGCUUACUCACCUUGUGACAGAGGCUUGCUGUUUAGCCCAGGCUGGAGAGAUACUUACCAUUCUCCAGCUGUAGCCUCCUGAGUACUGAGCUCAUACGUAGCAGGAGACUAUCUCAGUCUAUUAACAGUGAUAUAGGAUGGAGCCUGGGUGGCUUCCGUAGUCCUCAGAAUUUUUCUGCUCACUGCAUGAGUCUUUUUUUUUUUUUUAGAUUUUAAAGAUUUAUUCAUUUAUUAUAUAUGAGUACACUGUAGUGUCUUCAGACACACCAGAAGAGGGUAUCAGAUCCCAUUAGAGAUGGUUGUGAGUCACCAUAGUUGCUGGGAAUUGAACUCAGGACCUCUGAAAGAGCAGUCAGUGCUCCCAACCACUUAGCCAUCUCUCCAGCCUUGCAUGAGGAGCAAGCACACUGCUGUCUGACGCAGAGGCAGCAUGAAGCCAGUGAGAAGCUGUGUGAACUCAGAUGGCCUGGACACAUCGCUAUCUGUCUGGCCCCUGGAUUGUAAAAUGAAGUAAUACCAUCUGUUUCCAAGAGUUAUGAAAUUAAAUUCUAUUUGUAUAAAAGCACCAAGUGCUGGCCGUCGCUGUCUCUACCAAUGGCAGCUUCUUUCCUCACUUCAGGGGACUCUGCAUGAGAGCGCUUGCCACAUGUCCCUGAGCCUCUGAAGACACAUUGGUGCUGAAGCUGGGUAGGUUUUCUGACAAGCCUUUGAAGGAACCAGGACACCAGUGCCUCCAGCUCACCGCUCUGAUCCUUGAGGUAAUCUAUCACUGUGAUACUGCCCAUGGAUCUGAGGCUAUAGCCUACACUGUGGCCACACAGGCUGCAGGAUACACACAAGGCUCUAGCACUUGCUUAAGCUUGCUUGUCCCCACGGAUGAUAUCCAAAAUUACUGCGGAGGUGUCAACAAAUUCUGGAAACCUUGGCUGUGUCAACGUCAUUUGACAGUGGUGGGAACACACAAGAGGGCAGGGGGAUCUCUGACCUUGAGGGAACCUGGGAGCCUGGGACAGUAGUUACUUAAAUUUAUCAGCGAGAAUGAGUAUAUUUCUCUAUUUAAUAAUGGAUAUGUUGGAGCAGGCGUACAAUUGCACAUAGACCUUCUUCAACCCAAUAUAAUCUAUUUCUUCAUUCAUUUAGUCCACCAAUGCUUGAAUUUUAAAGCAGACUCUUUAUCCAAAGUGUUAGGCUAGAGGGUUUAAGGUAGAGUUAGAAAGAUAGCCCAAAGCGCUCAUGGUCUAAGAAAGGAUCCAAGAUACAUAAGACGAUUUAGCAGGAAGAACACAUGUGAAGUGUCCUAAGAAAAGGACACUCAGGAGAUGUGGCUCAGAGGAUGAAAUGCUUGCCAGGCAAGCAUGAGGGACACACACACACACACACACACACCACACACCCACAUACAUGCACGCUCACGCGCACACAGGCACUGGCACUCUGGCACUCACACACACGCACGCACGCACGAACAUGCACACGCAGUACACACUCACCACUCAACAACAGCAGCAAAAUAAAACCACAAGAAAGCUUAAAAAAAAAAAAAGAAAGAAGGUACUUGGGUCAGGAAUAUGAUGUCACAUCUGGCUGGUGUCAUCACUGAAGUCUUCACGGAGAAGGUGACUCAAGAGGGGACAUUAAAGGACGAGUGCAAUUUUAGUGCAAGAAUGAGAAGACGUUGAUGUUCAGAGUCAGGAAAUGGCAGUCCACAUAGAUGAAUAGAGUAAGUUGGAGCCAAAGGGCUGAGGACUAUACGUAGCUCUGAUGGAGCUGUGACGGUUGUCUGGCCUAGUUAGGACUUCCGUGUGCAGAGAGACUGGCUGGGGUUGUCUCAAAAGGCCAAAGCACCGGGUGGAAGUGGGAAAGAAUACGAUGGGAGAAACGGGUGAUAAAGAGCUGUGAAUUCUGUAUUCUGGUGGGGACAGCCCAGCGACUGCUGCAAGGAAAGUAUGUGGAAGAGAUAUGUGGAGAUUCUUGUGAGGAUAGGCAGGGCCACGGGACAUAUCGAAAGUCCAAUUUAGCUUUGACUUCAAGCCAAGUUGCCAAAAGGCAGCUUCUCGUUCGUGCAUUAACAUCACAUGCUUUUAAUCCCAGCCUUCUGGAGGAGGCAGAGGCAGGCAGAUCUCUGAGUUCUCGAAGCCAGAAUGGUCUACAGAGUGAGUCCUAGGACAGCCAGGGCUACACAGAGAAACCCUGUCUCCAAGGUGCACCCUGGUAUAUUAGCUUGAAUUUAGAUGCUUACCUUCCACAUAGGGAGCAGGAAGCAAGGUGAAUCCAGAGCUCACACUAGAACAAGAAACAGAAAUGGCAGGAGCAAGCCAGGCUUGUGAAAAAAAAACCAAAAACAAACCUGCCGUGACCAUCAAUUCGAUGGAGACAAAUCUCUGGUGAGGGAUUUCAGAUGGAUUAAUUGAGGUGGCAUCGUUCUACUGGAUGGGGCCUUGGACUGCAUACAAAGGAGAAAAGCUGUUGAAUAGCGUCUUUCCCUCUGCUCUCUGACUUUAGAUGUGACAGGAGACCAGUCAGCAGCUGACACAUGCUCUCGCCGCAGCAGUGUGGUCCUGCCAGGGUGGAUGGAAGGACUGUGCCCCACAAGGCUGAGCAAAAGGAAACAUUUUCUUCCUUUUGUUAGAUACUUUGUUACAACCACCAGAAACAUAACGAAUCACCUGGUCUCUAGACACCAACAGAGACCAACCAGUAAGGCUGUGGGGUGGGGUUCAAGAAACUACAUCAAAUUUUUAGAAUGAAAACAUUCUUCUAGCCAGGUGUGAUGGUGUUGGUCUUUAAUCCAGGUUUCCCAGAAGCAGAGGAAGGCAGAGCUCUUAAAUUUGAGGCAGCCUAGCAUACUGAAAGAGCAACACACACCCCAUUUGUCUCCGUUUACAGACCCCAUUUGUUUCUGUUUAAAGACUGGGCCUGAUUUCCAAAAAGGCAGUAAGGUACCAGCUUCGGGAAUAGAUCAUAAGUUCCAAAAACUGGCUCAUAAGACACCAGCUCUAGGAACAGACCAUAAAAUCCAAAAAUCAUAAAACCCCCUCGCAAAGCCUGGGGUUAACCUCAAAAAUGGGGAAAUAUCUUACCUCAGAAUGGGCCGUCUGCACUGAGCAGCCCUAUUUCAUCACAUGAUUGAACGCUCAUGAUUCAGAAAUGCAGACCAUGGACCGCCUGUGAGCCCCUAGCACCCACCAAUGAAAAUUUAGAUUAUCAAAUCCUUCUACUCCCAGUUCCCUAUAAGAGGGCCUGUGUGCCUUUGUCUAUGGCUGAUAUUUUAGAGAAUAGUUGACCACUGCGUUCUGGUUGCUUCUGCAGAAUAAACACUCUUUGGUUUUGCGUACUAUCUUGAGUCUGGGGUCUUCCUUCAGUGAUUUUUGGACCCUUACAAUACAAAGCUAAUUCUAGCCAGCUAGGGCUAUAUAGUGAGAGCCUAUCUCAAGACAAACAAAAAUUAAAUUAAAAACAGAAAACAUUCACCUAGGUCAGCCUUUCAACUUGGUGCCGAGUCUAAGUCUGACAGGAAUUCUGACCCAGGACACUGAGACCCAGCCUUAGCACAGGUUUAUAACUCCCUCCCCUUCAUCCCAGGCCACCAGAUUCAUUAAGUCUGAGGUAGGGCUGGCCUGGGAAUCUCUGCUGUUGCCUGUGUGUGUGUGUGUGUGUGUGUGUGUGUGUGUGUGUGUCUGUGUGUCUGUGUGUCUGUGUGUCUUUGUGUGUGUGUCUGUGUGUGUGUUUGUGUCUGUGUGUGUGUGUUUGUGUGUGUCCCAUGCAGAGGAGCGUGGAACUGUCACCUGCUCAGAACUGGUCCUGUUGUUGCUACAAGACUGAUCUCUGAAGCUAGGUGAGAACCAAGUUUUCCUUUUCUGAAAUCAGAGCUGAUCCCAGACCAGCGAGAGGCCGGAAGGGAACACCCGUGUGGCCACAGAGCAUUUCACGGACAGCCUAGAACAAAGCUCACUGCCUCUGCCUUGUGCCACCACGCCAUUCUGACACUGAACUACACCCCAGCCUGCCUCUUUUCAUGAAGAACGUAAACUCUACAAGGGCAGGAAUUUGUUUGGAAUCUUGGACAUUUUCAAAUGUAAGCAAACUAUAGAAAGGGUUGUGUGACGAGCCUUCAGGUUCCUACCACCCUGCUUUGAAUCAUUGGCUACACUAGGCUGGUCUAUGUCUGCUUCAUCUGCCUGGCUUCCUCUCCCUCGUGGCCGCCGUUGCCAGGCAGAUGCCUGCAAGAUGAUCAUCCCAUGUGUCUUGGGAUUUUAUUGCUGUGAAGAGACACCGUGACCACAGCAAGUCUUAUAAAGGAAAACAUUUAAUUGGGGCUGGCUUACAGGUCAGAGGUUUAGCCCAUGAGCUCUUAUAGUCCUGGGAGAAGCACAGCGUUGUGCAGGCAGACGUGACGCUGGAGAGGUAGCUGGAGAGUUCUGGAACCUGGUCAGCAGGCAACAGGAAGAGAGUGACACAGUGGCCAGGCUUGAGCUUCUGAGACCUCAAAGCCUCAAAGGUGGAGGGUGGCACAUCUCCCCCAAGACCACACCCCAAUAGCGCAACUCCCUAUAAAAUUAUGAGAGACAUUUUUAUUCAAACCACCACACCCUCCCUGCCCUGUGAUCUUUACAUACUCUAGUAUGCCAAGGACCAGCCUUGGCUUGGAGAAGAGUUUUGUAGAGGGGAUGUCUGGGGGUGGCGAAAACAACUCUCUGGACAGCUAAUCUCCUGCAGAUCGUAUAUGCAGUCUUUUAUUUUACUUAUCAACCCAGUCGUUUACUCUAGGUUUCCUUUUAUUAUCCUAUGAGUCAGCAUCCCAAGACUCCAGCUCCUUGAUUCUCAGGAAACAGCAAGCACACAUUUCCUUUUAACCUUCCAAAAGAAUUCAGAGAUCUGCCUGCCUCCGUUAAGCACAGACGAUAAACUAGCUGGCUGGGACUCUGUCCUGAAAUUACCAUUUCGACCACACCUGGGCCUAACCUUGCUCUGUCUUAGGCCAGCCCUGAACACUCAGGAAUUUGUCUGCCUUUGGAAUACUUAGCUGGGUGGAUCUCCUUUGAUCACCACUCCCUCAAUCUCUUCGUCUCCUUCCUUCGUGUAUUUCUGUACUUUUUUUUUUUUUAAUUUCUUUUUUUCGGAGCUGGGGACCGAACCCAGGGCCUUGCGCUUCCUAGGCGAGCGCUCUACCGCUGAGCCAAAUCCCCAACCCCUCGUGUAUUUCUGAUAAGUUGGCUCACAGCACAGCCACUUUUGUUCCUUUAGAUUCAUGGAGCCCCUUCCACAAUUCAUAUUGCAUCCUUAUGUUUUUGCAUAGGUGAGAAAUUGUAUAUAUUUGAACUUACAGGGCUGUCCUGAAGGUCCUAGCGUUUACCAUUUUGCUGAGACAUUAGCCACACCUUUGCCUCCUGGAUCUGUGCUGUCAUGAAGUCGUUAACAUUAACAGGGAGGACAGUGCUCAGAGGAGGAACGUGAAAUAUGUAUAUUAUCAUACAAACUAGCCGUAUGCCCACAGUAGCCAUUGACACUCAUGGAGGCCUACACCCACUGGCUCUGUCCCAGGGUCAGGAAUCAUGUCAUUCUGUCCCUACCAAGGCCAUGCCAGACCUAGCAAGUAUCCCUUUAGCAGGUAAUAAAAACAAGUUUCAAAGAUGAGAAGGUCUUAGGGAAGACUUCCCGGCUGCCCUCUGCUUCCUAUUCUGAACAUAAAGGGGUAGGGCUCUUCAAAUUGCUUUUUCCAAUUGGACCAGGUUUCCCUAUUCCCACCCCCUCCUUUGGUAUUUUGAGACAAAUAUUACUGCUACGUAAGCUGAUCUGGAACACGUGAUCCACUCACAUCUGCUUCAUGAGUGCUGGAAUUAUGAGAGUACAUCAUCAUUCCAAGUUCCAUCACCAAAGGUUUUGGGUAUAUACAUGUAGACUAACCCAUAGCCAGUUUCUAGAUCUGUAGGGGAGGGAAGGUUUUCAUGCUGGCUUAGUAGAGCACACCCUCCCUUCCACCUCAAGAGGCGUAGUCCAACAGGUGGGAGCCGCCAUCAAUAUUGGAAUCUCUGAACCUACCUGGUCCAUAAAUUACAGAGUCUGUUCUUUGAGUUUCAAGCCUGCCUUCUGGAAAUCUCUCUGUUUUGUUUGUUUGUUUGUUUUUUUCGGAGCUGGGGACCGAACCCAGAGCCUUGAGCUUGCUACACAAGCGCUCUACCACUGAGCUAAAUCCCCAACCCCAAUCUCUCUGUUUUGAACCCACCCUCAAACAUGGAGACACCUGUCCAAAAAAAAUUGUGUGGCAAAAAAAAUUGUUUUAGAAAAACUUAAGUAGUCAUGAAUCCCCCUAAGCUUCCCCCUCCGCCCCCGCCGUAAGCUUUGUGGUAGCAAGCAGGGGUCGGGCUAAUGGCACUUGGUGGGGUAUAUGCUUGGAGAAAGCUGCAGAGAAGACUCAAGGCACCAGAAUAGAAUUUUUAUGCAGAGAAUGUCCUCUUGUGGUUCCCAUCUCCAGAGCCUGUUCCUGAAGUCAUACGAGAGCCUCUGUAGGGUGUAGAGGCUUCAGCACAGUGGUCUUUAUCAUCAAGAUGGCCAAAGUACUAUUCUGUGCUAAGCUUGCCACUUUUUUUUUAAAGCUUUUGUGUAUUUCAUUAAGCCUGUGGCUUAUGGAAACCACAGGAAAAAAACAUGUUAUGUCCUGAUGGAAUUCAGUUUACGGAAGAUUUUUUUUUUCAUUUGAGGGAGAAAUCAUUACUUUGUAUGUGAUAAAGUAAGAUGCAAUUUUUGUGGAUUAAUAAAGAUAAACACAAGACUUUAAACAACUGUCCUAAAGGAAAUGGCCUAGUUUCUUCCUACAGCUACUGGGGAGAGGGGAGGGGAGUGAGAGUUGACAGUCGGUGCUCUGAUGGUCCAUGGGGCAGGUGAAGUCUGUGGGGCAGCUUGAAUCUUCUCUCACCUGACUUGUCAGUCCGUAUCUUCUGACAGCCGUGAAGUCAGCAGUUCUCUGCUCUCUUGAGAGAGACUCACCUUCUCCUCUCUUCAGGCCUUUGUCCAAACUGUCAUUUACGCCUGGAACAAUGUCUUACCUCCUGACAGACACGUUGUGAAUCUUCUUCUCACAGUGCAAUUCAAGGUCAUUUCCCCAGGAGGUCUCCUCUGAGAAAGAGAACCAACCCUCAAAGAGAAUCUGGCUGGAGAAGAAGGGUAUAGCACAGGCCUGUGAUUCUAGCUCUUGGGAAGUAGAGGCAGAUAGAUCAGAAGUUCAAAGUCAUCCUUGACUGUGUAUCAAGUUGAAGGCCAGCGUGGGCUAAACAGAUCCUGUCUCAUAAUCGCCUCUUCUGACAGAGGGAAAGAUAGAGAGAUCGAGAUAGAUAGAGAUAGAGAAGCAGAGAGACAAAGAGAAACAGAAAUAUACAGAGAGAAACAGAUACUAGUGUGAGAAAGAGAGUCAGUCUGAGCAUCAGAAUCCAACCCCCAAACUACCGUCCAAUACUAAAUAUUUGCACAGUUUUGUAAAGGAUUUAACAGUGUAUGAAACUGUCACACCCACCUUGUCUUAGUCAGGGUUUCUAUUCCAGCACAAACUUCAUGACCGAGAAGCAAGUUGGGGAGGAAAGGGUUUAUUCAGCUUACACUUCCACAUUGCUGUUCAUCACCAAAGGAAGUCAGGACUGGAACUCAAGCAGGUCAGGAAGCAGGAGCUGAUGCAGAGGCCAUGGAGGGAUGUCACUUACUGGCUUGCUCCCCCUGACUUGCUCAGCUUGCUCUCUUAUAGAACCCAAGACUGCCAGCCCAGGGAAGGCACCGUCCAAAAUGGGCUGGGUCCUCCCAUCUUGACCACUAGUUGAGAAAAUGCCUUACUGGUGGACCUCAUGAAGGCAUUUCCACAACUGAGGCUCCUUUUCUGUGAUAACUCCAGCUUGUGUCAAGUUGACAGACAAAACUAGCCAGUGCACACCUCUUAAGAAGUAAUCAUGGUAACCAUAUGAAGAGAUUAGAGCAGGGGUUAUUUACAAUUCUCAUCUACCAAACAGGUGGGGAACGUUAACCACAUAAAUAGGAAGUGAUCCUGCCUGUAAAAUACAGUUUUCCAAGACAAGGAAAAGACUGAAGGAGGAAGACCAAGGUUCUCUCACUGUCGUACCAAAAGGCUUCCUCUAAAGCUCUCCUGAACGGCCAUCGAUAGAGGUUAGCAGGUCAAGGCACCUGCCACCAAGCCUGAUAACAUGAGUUCGAUCCUGGUGUCCUCGUAGUGGAAGGAGAGAAACAAUUCCUACAUGUUCUCUGACCUCCGCAUUUGUGUCCUGGCAUGUGCCCCCCACCAAAAAAAAAUCAGGUAUGGUAAAACUCGUCAUCUCCACACUGAGGAGGGAAAGACAGGAGGAGCCCUGGGGCUCACUGGUCAGCUAGUCUAGCUUACUUGGCAAGUUCCAGACCGCUGAGAAACUGUCUCAGAAAACCAACGCAAAGCAAAGAAAAGCAAACAAAAAAAAGGUAUACAGGCAGAGCAUGACGGGAUAUCUAUCCUGUGUGUGCACUUUAACCUCAGCACUUGGGAAGCAGAGGCACGUGGGUCUCUUUAAAUUCCAGGCUAGCUAAGUCUACACAGUGAGUCUCUAUUAAAAAACAAAACAAA